rnacentral:tRNA from 1 species
ACAGCUGUGGUUGAAUGGUCACAGUGUUCGCUUUGUAAGCGAAUGGUUGUGGGUUCGAUUCCCAUCUGCUCCC